rnacentral:tRNA from 1 species
UGGGUUAUGGCUUAAUAGCUGAGUGCGUGCCCUGUGCGCACGAAGCCCUAGGUUCAAUUCCCAGCACCACAC